CCUGGUUGAUCCUGCUAGUAGUCAUAUUCUUGUCUCAAAGAUUAAGCCAUGCAUGUGUAAGUAUGAGCGAAUUCAGAUUGUGAAACUGCGCAUGGCUCAUUAAAUCAGUUAUAGUUUGUUUGAUGGUAACUACUACUCGGAUAACCGUAGUAAUUCUAGAGCUAUCGUCCCGACUUCUGGAAGGGAUGCAUUUAUUAGAUAAAAGGUCAAGGCGGGCUCUGCCCGUUGCUCUGAUGAUUCAUGAUAACUUCGGCCGGAUCGCAUGGCCUUAGUGCUGGCGAUGCAUCAUUCAAAUUUCUGCCCUAUCAACUUUUCGAUGGUAGGAUAGUGGCCUACCACGGUGGUAGCGGGUGACGGAGAAUUAGGGUUUGAUUCUGGAGAGGGAGCCUGAGAAAGCGGCUACCACAUCAAGGAAGGCGCAGGUGGCGUAAAUUAACAAAUCGACACGGGGAGGUAGUGACAAUAAAUAACAAUACCGGGCUCUUUGGUAAUGGAAUGAGUACAAUCUAAAUCCCUUAACGAGGAUCCAUUGGAAAGAAAGUCUGGUGCCAGAAAGCGCGGUAAUUCCAGCUCCAAUAAGCGUAUAUUUCAGCUGUUGCAGUUAAAAAGCUUCGUAGUUGAACCUUGGGAUGGGUCGCCCGUUCCACCGCCGGUGAAACACCAGUUGGCUUGUCUCUUCUACGUCGGCGGUAUGCUCCUGGCCUUAACUGGCUGGGUCGUGCCUCGGUGCUGUUACUUUGAAGAAAUUAGAGUGCUCAAAGCAAGCCUACGCGCUCUGUAUACAUUAGCAUGGGAUAACAUCAUAGGAUUUUGAUCCUAUUGUGUUGGCCCGCCGGGAUCGGAGUAAUGAUUAGCGGGGACAGUCGGGGGCAUUCUUAUUUCAUAGUCAGAGUUGAAAUUCUUGGAUUUAUGAAAAGGCGAACAACAGCGAAAGCAUUUCCCAAGGAUGUUUUCAUUAAUCAAGAAGCGAAAGUUGGGGGCUCGAAGGCGAUCAGAUACCGUCCUAGUCACAACCAUAAGCGAUGCCGACCAGGGAUCAGCGGAUGUUGCUUUUAGGACUCGCUGGCACCUUAUGAGAAAUCAAAGUUUUUGGGUUCAGGGGAGUAUGGUCAUAAAGGCUGAAACAUUUAAAGGAAUUGGCGGAAGGGCACCACCAGGAGUGGAGCCUGCGGCUUAAUUGACUCAAACGGGGAAACUUACCAGCUCAAACAUAGUAACGAUUGACGGACUGAGAGCUCUUUCUUGAUUCUAUGGGUGGUGGUGCAUGGCCGUUCUUAGUUGGUGGGGCGAUUUGUCUGGUUAAUUCCGUUAACGAACGAGACCUCAGCCUGCUAACUAGCUACGUGGAGACAUCCCUUCACGGAGACUAUGGCCAUUUAGGCCAAGGAAGUUUGAGGCAAUAACAGGUCUGUGAUUCCCUUAGAUGUUCUUGGCCGCACGAGUACUACACUGAUGUAAUUAUCGAGUUCACACCUUGACCGACAGGCCCGGGUAAUCUUUGAAAUUUCAUCGUGAUGGGGAUAGAUCAUUGCAAUUGUUGGUCUUCAACGAGGAAUUCCUAGCAAUUCAUCAGCUCCCAUUAACUACGUCCCUGCCCUUUGUAUACACCGCCCGUCGCUCCUACCAAUUGAAUGAUCCGGUGAAAUGUUCGGAUCGCGGCGACGUGGGUGGGUGUAACACCCUGAUCCGGCCGACAAGGCCAUGGUCGAAGCCUUACAUCACCUGGUCCACUUCCUGGCCGAACCUCUUAA
rnacentral:rRNA from 1 species